rnacentral:rRNA from 1 species
GAUGAACGCUUGCGGCGUGCUUAACACAUGCAAGUCGAACGAUGAUGCCCAGCUUGCUGGGUGGAUUAGUGGCGAACGGGUGAGUAACACGUGAGUAACCUGCCCUUGACUCUGGGAUAAGCCUGGGAAACUGGGUCUAAUACCGGAUACGACCAUCUGGCGCAUGUCAUGGUGGUGGAAAGCUUUUGUGGUUUUGGAUGGACUCGCGGCCUAUCAGCUUGUUGGUGGGGUAAUGGCCUACCAAGGCGACGACGGGUAGCCGGCCUGAGAGGGUGACCGGCCACACUGGGACUGAGACACGGCCCAGACUCCUACGGGAGGCAGCAGUGGGGAAUAUUGCACAAUGGGCGCAAGCCUGAUGCAGCGACGCCGCGUGAGGGAUGACGGCCUUCGGGUUGUAAACCUCUUUCAGUAGGGAAGAAGCGAAAGUGACGGUACCUGCAGAAGAAGCGCCGGCUAACUACGUG